AAAACUGUUACCGCGGAUAUUUCCCGUAACAAAAGCCGGGGCUUACGGUAACGAAGCCCCG
rnacentral:sRNA from 1 species